ACGCGCCCCUGCUGACCAUGGAGUUCGACUGUGAGGGCGUGAGACGGCUGCUAGGCAAGGUGCAGGCAGGUCGGGGGGCGGACGGGACCUAGCAUUCUCGUCACUGCGCGUCGCCCCAGCCCAUUCCCCCCACCCCAUGUCCUUUUUUCCAAGAUUGUUUUGUCGUUUUGACACACCCAUACAUACUCUUUCCCAGGCUGGCCUGGAAGUCGCGGCAAUCCUCCUGCUUCAGCCUCCCGGUGCUGGGGUCACAGGCAGGCGGUGCCUCGCCCCCCUUGAAUGAGUCACUCCCUGCUAGUGUCUCUACCUGCUUUGAGAAAUCCGGGUUAUCACCUUGUGGAAGCCAUUCUCCGCCGUGCUUCCUCCUGGAGCGUUUGUGACUGUACACUGUACUCUUGUCUCUGUAGUCCUCUCAUCUAGCACUGUGGUCACAUUGUAGGUACUCACAACGAGAACCCCGCAGACGCGAGUGCAGGCCUGGACAGGGCUUUACUGUGGAAAGGUGGAUGGAGGUUUCUUCCACCCUCAAGUCUCUACCCACCCCACCCCCAGGCUGUAUGCUCAGCAUUCCUGACUCCCGCCCUCGAGCAUACUAGGGCUGUCUAGUUCAGAGGUUACCUUGUUUAGUGAUCCUGGCCGUUCAGAUUGCCCUGGAAGAGCCCUGAAACAUGAUUCUGUGCUGAUAUUCUUGGACGUAGGGGGUGUCUCUUUGUCGGGACAGUUUUUACACUUGUAAGAGUUUUAAGAGCUCCUAAAGUUGAAAUCGUGUAUGUAGUUGAUUCUGAUGGUUUAGCUUACAGUUACAGGUGUAGGUUGAUUGAGUUGGUUGUAAGACUUCUCAUUUGC
rnacentral:lncRNA from 1 species